rnacentral:rRNA from 1 species
CCUACGGGAGGCAGCAGUGAGGAAUCUUGGUCAAUGGACGCAAGUCUGAACCAGCCACGCCGCGUGCAUGAAGACGGCUCUAUGAUUUGUAAACUGCUUUUGUACGAGGGUAAACGCAGAUACGCGUAUCUGUCUGAAAGUAUCGUACGAAUAAAGAUCGGCUAACUACGUGCCAGCAGCCGCGGGAAUACGGAGGAUUCAAGCGUUAUCCGGAUUUAUUGGGUUUAAAGGGAGCGUAGGCGGUCGGAUAAGUUAGAUGUGAAAUCCCGAGGCUCAACUUCGGAAGUGCCUGGGAUACUGUUCGGCUAGAGAGUAGUUGAGGUAGGCGGAAGGCAUGGGGUAGCGGUGAAAUGCUUAGAGAU